CGGUGACACAGAGCCAAACGGUGCCAACACAGCAAUAAUACUUCGUUGUUUUUGCUAUCUACAAUAUAAGAAAGUUAGAUGCUCUGGAAAAGACCUAACUGCCCCUUUGUUUUGUUAGAGAGCCACGUGGCUACCUCCUUUGCAUUUCUUUGCUUCUUGCUUUUGCUAUCUGGCUCUCAUUCCUUUUCCUAUCUAUCUCUCCCUCUUUCUCUCAUUUUUUUAUCUCUUUCUCUCUCUCACGUUUCUGUUUUUCUUCCCCCUCUUUCUCUUCUCUUCAUUCACUCUCUUCUCCCUCUUUCUCUUCUUCCUUGAAACGAAAGGCUAAUCUGGCGACGAUGUCGGAUUCGUAACGAACAUGUGGUGGUCGGCCACUAUUUAUGCAUUUUGAAGAUGAAUAUGAUGUUGAUGGCGACGAUGAACACGUUUGCUGAUGAUAUCGAUGAUGUUGAUUUUGAACCGUUGAUGGUUGUUGCUAAGGGUUACGAUCGAGAAAUUGAUGAUGAUGUUGGUGACGCUCAAAGUCACAGCAAAUCGGUGAGAUCUUUCUUUGUUUUCGUGUUUUGAGUUCUCUAAUAUCUCUUCUUCUCUCAAUAUUUUCUUACGGUUGCUUUAUAUUUGCAGCUUAGAAAUGGAACACUCACUGGGUAUGUCAAUGGGUAAAAGAUGUUGAUACUCAGUGGCACAUAUAUUGCUUGGAUUUUUCUUAUUUUUUCUGCAUAAUGAUCUUAUGCAGGCGACGACAAUAAAGACAUGCACCAGGGUAUGUCAAUGGGUAAAAGAUAUUGAAAAUGAAAUAUUUUUACUAGGAGGUAACCCCUUUUCAUGGUGAUUUUAUUUCCAAUCAAAUAAUGUAAAACAUGUAAGAGAAAGUUUAUUUAAUGGUUAUUGAUGAGGAUUUCCUUGAAAUCUGCGGAAUGGAGAGUUCGUUUCCACCGGGAUUUAAAUGGGGAUCUAGAAGAGAGGUUCUCGAUUGGCUGGCGUCAGUGUUAUCAAAGCAGCAUCUGCAGGGCCAUAGAAGUGUAAGGCCUGCUCACUAGCUCAUGAGAUCUCAAAUGGUAAUGUUAAUGAAGUAACUCAUCUUUCUCUGCAAUUAAUCGGUGGAUGACAAUGUACGUGCCCGCCAAAUAUGUUUUCUUUGUGAUUCAAACAUAAUAUUUAGAUGAUUUUCAUCUUCCUGUUACAAUCUUUCUAAUAUUCAGAUUCAGUCCUUUGUUUAUGUCAUGGGCAAUGGAGAGAACCAUUAUGUUGCAUAUUUAGAUGAUACAUAUGAAGACACAAGGGGGCUGAAAAGGUAAAACUAAGGUGGUUUCAUCAUAAAUGUGUGGGACGCAAACGCUGACUCUUUGGUCCCGUACCAGAAUGAUGAGGUUGUCGUAGGGAUGUAUUUAGUGGCGGCGUCAAGUUCUGCUUGAAGUUGUAGGGCUCUUAGACUUUGGUGCAAGGACCGAUUUGUUACAGUAGCGGGUUUCUUGGAUAUUUUCCAAACUGGGUCCGAAUCAAGCUUCUAAAUUCAUUUUGAAUUUCUGUUUAGAUUUAAUUUGUGCAGGGAGUUUCCUCUUGGAGCUACGGAUUCAUUGUUUAGGUCUACGCGGUUUGAUGUGAGUUUUCGAACCGGUUCGAUUCAGUUGGGAUGAUGUGCAACUGUGUUUUUUUUGGCACAUGGUCUGAUUAUGCAUAAAUUAUGCAGGCUUGGGUUUGAUAUGCUGCAAGUUCUUUUAUUUAUAUGAAUAUGUUGUUUGAACGGGGUUAAUUGUUUGGAAAUUUUCUUGUGUAGGUGCUUAUGGUGUACCAAGUGAAGCAAGGUUAGCAUGAUGCAUGCCUCUGCUCAACGUUGCGGUUUCAUACGUAUGCAGGUUGUAUGGUAUAUGCACGGAUUUUGUAUAAUAGCUAUAGGUUAUCAUAGUUUUCUAGUUCUUGAAAUGAGUAGCCUGUAGCUCACAGUCUGUCUUGAGUAUGCAUGUUGUAAUGAAUUAUGGAACUUUAUUUAGCUCUGAAUUAUAUGUGAAUGACUGGUAUAUAUGCAAAUUCAAUGGUGAAUGAAAACUGAAAUUGGAUGGCACGACUCAAUGGUUGUAUGUGAAUUUUGCUUGGUAUUGGAGGCCUUAGCAUAAUGUUCAUUAAUGUUCAUGGUGGUUUACUGUACUAAUGUGGGAUAGUAUAUUUGUUUUGUGCAAAUCAAGACAAUUGAUAUGGCCUGUUGGAUGUACAUGGUGUGAACAUGGUUUUAGCUAGCAUCAGUUUGUAUGGCAAGUAGCAUAAUUUAUACAAGUACGAUUUGCUUCGGAUACUGAAUAUGUGUACUGUUUCUUAUGUCGGGCUGAUUUUGGUGAAUUGAAUCAAGGUACAUAUAUAGCUGAGGUUCUGUUAUAAUUGUUUUGUUAGUAUGAAUUAAAUGUAUACAGUUAGAUUUAAGAAAUAAAGAUAUAUUUUAGAGGAGGGAUCAAAUUACACCCGAAG